AUUGAACGCUGGCGGCAUGCCUUACACAUGCAAGUCGAACGGCAGCACGGGAGCAAUCCUGGUGGCGAGUGGCGAACGGGUGAGUAAUAUAUCGGAACGUGCCCAGUCGUGGGGAUAACGUAGCGAAAGCUACGCUAAUACCGCAUACGAUCUAUGGAUGAAAGCGGGGGACUCGCAAGAGCCUCGCGCGAUUGGAGCGGCCGAUGGCAGAUUAGCUAGUUGGUGAGGUAAAGGCUCACCAAGGCGACGAUCUGUAGCUGGUCUGAGAGGACGACCAGCCACACUGGGACUGAGACACGGCCCAGACUCCUACGGGAGGCAGCAGUGGGGAAUUUUGGACAAUGGGCGCAAGCCUGAUCCAGCAAUGCCGCGUGCAGGAUGAAGGCCUCGGUUGUAACGUAGCUUUGUUACGGUAACG
rnacentral:rRNA from 1 species